rnacentral:misc_RNA from 1 species
UAAUAAGUGUUUUAUGGUACUUUUUAAAUCCAUAUCCACCUUGUGUGCAAUGUCGGUCGAUCUUCUUUUUUUGAGGAUCGACCAAACACCAACCUUUAUUUUUUAACUCUUUGUUUGAAAAAUAUUAUGAAUAAACAAUUCAAAAUA